GAAACGACUGCUAAGACUGGAUAGGAAAUAAAAAGGCAUCUUUUUAUUUUUAAAAGACCUUUUUCGGAAGGUAUGCUUAAAGAGGGGCUUGCGUCACAUUAGUUAGUUGGCAGGGUAAAGGCCUACCAAGACUAUGAUGUGUAGCUGGACUGAGAGGUUGAACAGCCACAUUGGGACUGAGACACGGCCCAAACUCCUACGGGAGGCAGCAGUAGGGAAUUUUCGGCAAUGGAGGAAACUCUGACCGAGCAACGCCGCGUGAACGAUGAAGUAUUUCGGUAUGUAAAGUUCUUUUAUUGAAGAAGAAAAAAUAGUGGAAAAACUAUCUUGACGAUAUUCAAUGAAUAAGCCCCGGCAAACUAUGUGCCAGCAGCCGCGGUAAUACAUAGGGGGCGAGCGUUAUCCGGAAUUAUUGGGCGUAAAGGGUGCGUAGGCGGUUUAAUAAGUCUAUAGUUUAAUUUCAGUGCUUAACACUGUCCUGCUAUAGAAACUAUUAGACUAGAGUGAGAUAGAGGCAAGUGGAAUUCCAUGUGUAGCGGUAAAAUGCGUAAAUAUAUGGAGGAACACCAGAGGCGUAGGCGGCUUGCUGGGUCUUUACUGACGCUGAGGCACGAAAGCGUGGGGAGCAAACAGGAUUAGAUACCCUGGUAGUCCACGCCGUAAACGAUGAGUACUAAGUGUCGGGAUUACUCGGUACUGAAGUUAACACAUUAAGUACUCCGCCUGAGUAGUACGUACGCAAGUAUGAAACUUAAAGGAAUUGACGGGACUCCGCACAAGCGGUGGAUCAUGUUGUUUAAUUCGAAGAUACACGAAAAACCUUACCAGGUCUUGACAUACUCUGCAAAGCUAUAGCAAUAUAGUGGAGGUUAUCAGGGAUACAGGUGGUGCAUGGUUGUCGUCAGCUCGUGUCGUGAGAUGUUAGGUUAAGUCCUAAAACGAGCGCAACCCUUGUCAUUAGUUGCCAGCAUGUCAUGAUGGGCACUUUAAUGAGACUGCCAAUGAAAAAUUGGAGGAAGGUGAGGAUCACGUCAAAUCAUCAUGCCCCUUAUGAUCUGGGCUACAAACGUGAUACAAUGGCUGUUACAAAGAGUAGCUGAAACGCAAGUUUAUAGCCAAUCUCAUAAAAGCAGUCUCAGUUCGGAUUGAAGUCUGCAACUCGACUUCAUGAAGUUGGAAUCGCUAGUAAUCGCGAAUCAGCAUGUCGCGGUGAAUACGUUCACGGGGUUUGUACACACCGCCCGUCA
rnacentral:rRNA from 1 species